rnacentral:rRNA from 1 species
UACGUAGGGUGCAAGCGUUGUCCGGAAUUAUUGGGCGUAAAGAGCUCGUAGGCGGUCUGUCGCGUCUGCUGUGAAAACCUAGGGCUUAACUCUGGGCGUGCAGUGGGUACGGGCAGACUAGAGUUCGGUAGGGGAGACUGGAAUUCCUGGUGUAGCGGUGAAAUGCGCAGAUAUCAGGAGGAACACCGGUGGCGAAGGCGGGUCUCUGGGCCGAAACUGACGCUGAGGAGCGAAAGCGUGGGGAGCGAACAGG